rnacentral:rRNA from 1 species
GACGAACGCUGGCGGCGUGCUUAACACAUGCAAGUCGAACGGUGAAGCGCCUUCCUUUUUGGUGGGUGUGGAUGAGCGGCGAACGGGUGAGUAACACGUGAGUAACCUGCCCCCUUCUUCUGGAUAACCGCAUGAAAGUGUGGCUAAUACGGGAUAUUCUGGGUCUGUCGCAUGAUGGGUCUGGGAAAGAUAUUGUUUCGGUGGGGGAUGGGCUCGCGGCCUAUCAGCUUGUUGGUGGGGUGAGGGCCUACCAAGGCGGUGACGGGUAGCCGGCCUGAGAGGGUGGGCGGUCACACUGGGACUGAGCCACGGCCCAGACUCCUACGGGAGGCAGCAGUGGAGAAUAUUGCACGAUGGGCGCCAGCCUGAUGCAGCGACGCCGCGUGAGGGAUGGAGGCCUUCGGGUUGUGAACCUCUUUCGCCAGUGAAGCAGGCCUGCCGCGUUUGUGGGUGGGUUGACGGUAGCUGGAUAAGAAGCGCCGGCUAACUACGUG